CCAAGGCGACGAUCUGUAGCUGGUCUGAGAGGAUGAUCAGCCACACUGGGACUGAGACACGGCCCAGACUCCUACGGUAGGGCAGCAGUGGGGAAUAUUGCACAAUGGGCGAAAGCCUGAUGCAGCCAUGCCGCGUGUGUGAAGAAGGCUCUAGGGUUGUAAAGCACUUUCAGUGGGGAGGAAAAGUUUCAAAACUAAUAUUUUUUGAACCUUGACGUUACCUGCAGAAGAAGCACCGGCAAACUCCGUGCCAGCAGCCGCGGUAA
rnacentral:rRNA from 1 species